CGUUUGUCGUGUUUAUGUGGCUGUGGCGCUGCUCUCUCCUGCUCUCUGUAUUGAUGGCAGUGCAGCCUGGCUGUAAUUGAUGGCGGCAUAUUGCUGUACUCCGGCAAGUGUAAUGGGCCGAGACACAGAAGCAGAGAGCACAGCAGGAACCCUCUUUAACCCUUUACGUUCUCACACACUCAAACCCUGAAAUAUGUGUGUGUGUUUGUGUCUCUGUAGGGAAGACGACGGGUGCCACAUUUCUUCUACAGUUUGCCACAGCUCUCUGCAAACUGACAAAAAGAUGGAGCUGCAGUGGAAUAAACAUAGCAGUACAGAUCUGACCUUUGACCUCUCCAGUGGACCAUAACUCUUCAUAAGCAUGCAUGGGCAUCAUUUAGCUCAUUUUUGAGGUAUGGAUGUGGGCCAUUUUUUGCAUUUGUAGCUGAUUAUAUAGUGUGUGAGAUCAUGCUGUCUAAAAGUCAGAGGUGACCAGUGAAUGUUUUUUAAUUAAGCAUUUUUCUAAUUUAGUAAACUUUUUUUCUUUACAAAUUACUCCACAACUGGGUUUGGUAAGUUUCAUAAUGUUUUUGAAAGAG
rnacentral:lncRNA from 1 species